CCUACGGGUGGCUGCAGUGGGGAAUAUUGCACAAUGGGCGCAAGCCUGAUGCAGCGACGCCGCGUGAGCGAUGAAGGCCUUCGGGUCGUAAAGCUCUGUCCUAAGGGAAGAAUAAUGACGGUACCUUAGGAGGAAGCCCCGGCUAACUACGUGCCAGCAGCCGCGGUAAUACGUAGGUGGCAAGCGUUGUCCGGAAUUAUUGGGCGUAAAGCGCGCGCAGGCGGUCCUUUAAGUCUGAUGUGAAAUCUUGCGGCUCAACCGCAAGCGGCCGUUGGAAACUGGGGGACUUGAGUGCAGGAGAGGGAAGUGGAAUUCCACGUGUAGCGGUGAAAUGCGUAGAGAUGUGGAGGAACACCAGUGGCGAAGGCGGCUUCCUGGCCUGUAACUGACGCUGAGGCGCGAAAGCGUGGGGAGCAAACAGGAUUAGAUACCCCAGUAGUC
rnacentral:rRNA from 1 species